AUUCCCGGCUCUUUCUCUCUCCUGCUUGAAGCCGAGGAGUUUGUCUCUCUUUACUUUAAUUAAAAGUCAGACGGAUUGUUUGUUUGUGGUCACAGACCUCCACUCCUUCUUCCUCCGCUGCCAUGGUUUCAUUUUUCACCAAACCACUGGCCAGAAGGAAGAAGAAGGAGGAGGAGGAGGAGGAGGAGGGGGGAUGUUUUGUUGGAGAGAGUGAAGAAUCCAUUUUCCUCGGCCUGCUGUUGCAGCCUUGGCGAUGGUGGCAGCGGUGGUGUUGCGAGCGACAGCAGCGGCGGCGAAGGGGAGAUUAGGAGCUGAUAUCCUGCCUCCUCAUCCGUCCCUGAUAACACACAGCGGGAUAAUGGCUUUGCUAUUUCUGCUGCUGCUGCAGCCGAGACGAUGACGGUUGUUAUCUGACUGCUGGAAGCUGCUGUUUAGAGCUCCGGGAGGCGACACGGCAGACCAAUCAGUCAGUAUCAGUGAUGGAUUCAUGGAGCUCAUGCUGGUUAACAUUAGUGUGGGUGCAGCUGCAGCCAGACCAUCACACUGAGAGACAUCUGUCACUUCUGGAUCAGAUUAAUUCAUGUGGAAAUAGAGGAGAUUACAGACACCGCUUUCUUCUGUACAAACAUUUUGAAGCACUUUAUCGAAUUUGAAUGUUUACCCUCGCUCCUCCUGUCAUCCGUCAGGAUUUCUGAAGUUGUCAGAAGAGUUUUUUUGUCCCGUUUCUCUCUGGACACAGCCGACAGUGUCUCAGCUUCCUGGAGGGUUAAAACGCUUUAAACUGAACAUCUCAGAGGAUAACAAAGCUGAAUGAGACGCACGCGAGGGUUUUCUUUGUAAUGACACUUGGAGGGCGGCGUAAAGUCAGAAAACUCCUGACAGACUUUCAGCAGACAGUCCAAGAAGAAGAAGAAGAAGGUCAAACAAGUCUUUUCCCGUGUCUGUCCUGGUAAAGACAGGUUAUGAUUGGUUUCCUUCGAUUAAUUUAAAUUAAGGACGAACCCAAAAGACAAACUGAGAAUAAAACAAAUAAACAAACCAGCAUCUAUUUAGUUCAAUAAUGGAGAGAAGCGACGGUGAUGUUGUUGAUGCACGAAACAAAGCUGAGUCAUCAGCAUAUGAAGUUAUACUUGAAUUUUAAUGAUGAAAAUCGAGAACAGAAGGGGCCCUAAGACAGUCCCCUGGGGAACGCCACAGAAUAUCCUUCUGCAGGUGAGAGCUGAAGGUGAAAAACCUCAACGUUUGGUAGAGAUGAGAAGAUCCGUUCUUUUGACUGUACUGAGUCUUUAGAAUCAGUUCAUUAAAACGAUUCGUUCAAAAGAUUCGUUCACUGAAUCAGUCUGUGCUUCAGAGCCCCGUCCUGCCGGUGCAGUACACCAGUGAGUGACACAGCGGCGAGUUCGUUCAUUAGCCCCUCCCCUCCCCUGCUGCUGAAGUCACAGCGUCGUUCACUGGGUGACACAUGUCGUUCAUUCGCCGAGUCCUGAAGGAAGAAUCACUCCCCUGGUGGUUACAACACUGCAGCGAGCAGCACGCCCACUAAACGAGCGCAAGUCGUCGUUCUUUUAUAUGUCGGAAAAGUGGCGAGAUUAAAAAUAAAUAAAGAUGUCAGCUGUAGCGAGGAUUCAGAUACUUUUAACGAUAUAAAAUAUCGUAUUUCUUUAAAUCGGCUGAAGUUAAAUCUUUCUUACAGGAAAGUUUAACACGUGUUUUUAAUGUAAAGACGCAAUAAUGACCUGUUUGAUCUGAGCCUCAGUCAACCAACCACUGCUCAGCAAUUCAUGAACGACGCUAUGCCCCUCCCUACUCUGCCCGCAUCAAGUUAUUUGGAAGUCAUUUGUUUCAUUCAUUCGCUGUGAGUGAAUCAUGAGACUCCGCCCACCCGCCCACUCGCUGGCUGGCUGUGUGUCAUUCGUCAUUCGUCAAAGGCGGCAGUUCCACUCCGGACCGGCACACUAGGCUCACGGCUGAACUCAACUGAACUGAGAAAAGAAGGAAUCAGGUCUCAGAGUGAUUCACUCAGCAGCUCAGUUCUUUUGAACGAAUCGUUCAUGAACGACACAAACACCAUCAGGAACAGACGGGGCCCUACGUCAGUCCCCUGGUGAAGACCACAGGAUAUCCUUCUGCCUUUAAACAGAGUUGUUGUCGUCCAGGCGGGAGCUGAAGGUGAAAAACCUCAACGUUUGGACUCUGGUAGAUCAACAGGACAGACGAGUCGAUCAUUAUCUCCAAUCGAUUGGCUCCUUAAACUCUUUGAUAGACGUUAUUCUUCAGGAUCAGAGGCCGCCGCUCAGUUCAGACUCUGACUCGAGGUUGCGUCAGUGCGAAACAAUAAUUGUGCAAAACUAAAGCGAUGAAGUUUUUCCACUGAAGCGGCUCCUCUCUUAACGUUUUCUUGAUGACUCUUGUCGCAGCUGUUUCCUCCUCAUGCUGAUCGCCUGACAGCCAUCGGCUUCAUGUCAUUGACCACACAUUUAGCUCUCCGUCUGUGAUGUAAUCAGCCGAACGCCGUCUGUACAAACACUGAGCGGCUUGGAGCCAAUUGUCUGAAUCAUGUUUAAAUGAACUCAGAUAUUUAGUUUGAUCAGACUGAACCAGCAGAGAGGAGUUUUAGAGGACUUCACUGUCUGCAGCAUAAAAACAACAUCUGUGCAGAAACAGGAAUAAAAGAGUCCUUUUAUUUACACUCGAACGCUGAUACACCUUCAAAAUAAAAUCAACAUAACUGGAUCUUUAUCAGGGUGGUCAUAAAAACACUCUUUAGAAGUAAAAGCUGAAUCUGUGUCCUCGUAACUAAUCCACUAGAGAUUUAAGAGGCAAGUUUGUUUUUCCUCUCCUACCUGCUCAAAACUCACUCGUUAUCGGAAAUAGAUUUUCUGUAGCAAACGAAGCAAAUAGACAUCUUUGACUCAUGAGUCCAUGUAACCCACAAUUUUUUUGCCAUCUGCCAAUUCCUAUCGGAUGCAUUUGUGAGGCGAAUUUCAGACAGCUGGAAUCACGAGGACUCACAAGAACCUGUGAAUUCACGUUCAAUCGCGCGAUAACGAGUUGACUCUAUAAAGACAAACACAUAGACAUAUAAGCAGUAGAUUGUGUCCUUCCAGAGGAGGAAAUCUACUCAGUCCCGACCAGUAGAUUGGACACUUUAGUGGAGAUUAGGAAUCAACCAUUGGUAAGUGAAAUAUUUAUCUUUAUCUGUGAAACAAACCACGUUUGCAUGGUGUGAAAUACGAUCCUCCUGAAACACGGAGUGUUUUAUUUUGAAAAGACGCCGGAUGUUUUAUUUUGUGUCUGUGCCCGACUUCCUUUCCAGCACGGGUUGAUCUGUGAAAAUUGACACAUUAACUUGAAUGAAAACGAUCAGUGGUGAUCGGCGCCAACAGCCUUUUUGCCGCCGUUCUGCAUUUGGUGGUAAGUCAUCUGCUGUUUUAAAAUGGGACCUAAUGAGGUUUUCUUUGCUUUCAGAACGUGGCCCAAGAGGACAAACUUGGAACUGCAGCUUUUUUCAACAUUUUAUAAAGAACUUCGAUUAAUGUGCACCAAUCUACCUCUUCUUUUCUUGUAUAAGAUCUUUUUUGCCUUUUUCUUCGAUCUUCUUCGCCUGUCGAUCUCCAGCUCCGUUCUUCCCUCAACAUAAACAGUCAGAUUAAGCAGCGCAUCAUCAACAAUCGAAACGGCUAAUUAGCACUGAUGACCAUAUUCUGAAUCCUCAAAAGGGGACAGGACUAUGCAGGGAUGGAGUCACAGAGUCGCACAUAGUUAAUUUUGAGAGUUUUCUGGAUCAGGUCGAAUGUUUUUUACGUGAUUCUAUCUCAGUUAGUCCACGUGACUUAAGCUCAAAACUUUCAUACAAAACUGUGGACAUUUGGAGGAAUUUAUAAAGUCCCCUGGACAAGGCCGGACAGCCCCCCAAACAGAAGACAUGUCCGGGGAAAAGAGGACGUAUGGUCUCUGCCUUCUUCAUCUGUAUCUGCAUGAAUAAAGCUUGACUGUUUUUUA